GUGAAUCAUCAAAUUUUUGAACGCAAAUUGCGCUUCCUGGCAUCCCGGGGAGUAUGCCUGUUUGAGGGUCAGUAUUAACAAAAAAUCGGUUUGGUUGCAAAGUGUGACGUUUCCGGAGUUUGGGCUAUCUUAACUUUUUUGGUUCAGUGGCUUAAAAUUGACCUUAUUUGCGCAUUUUUAGACGUACAUAUAUUUUUUUUUUAUUAUCCUCUAUUUAUUGCUAAAUUCUCCUUGGAUC
rnacentral:misc_RNA from 1 species